AGUGAACGCUGGCGGUAGGCCUAACACAUGCAAGUCGAACGGCAGCACAGUAAGAGCUUGCUCUUACGGGUGGCGAGUGGCGGACGGGUGAGGAAUACAUCGAAAUCUACUUUUUCGUGGGGGAUAACGUAGGGAAACUUACGCUAAUACCGCAUACGACCUACGGGUGAAAGCAGGGGAUCUUCGGACCUUUCGCGAUUGAAUGAGCCGAUGUCGGAUUAGCUAGUUGGCGGGGUAAAGGCCCACCAAGGCGACGGUCCGUAGCUGGUCUGAGAGGAUGAUCAGCCACACUGGAACUGGGACACGGUCCAGACUCCUACGGGAGGCAGCAGUGGGGAAUAUUGGACAAUGGGCGCAAGCCUGCUCCAGCCAGACCGCGUGGGUGAAGAAGGCCUUCGGGUGUUAAAGCCUUUUUGUUGGGAAAGAAAGGCAGCAGGUUAAUACCCCGCUGUUCUGACGGUACCCAAAGAAUAAGCACCGGCUAACUUCGUG
rnacentral:rRNA from 1 species